UCUAAGGGCGUUUGUUGGGCCAAGCCCUUGUUUCGUCCCAGCCAGGCCACUCAGGCGAAAGCAUCCUGGGAAUUCGGCAUGCCAACACAAAGAGCAUUUCCUUGUGUGGGUUUCCUGUUUAGGUCUGCGUAGAAACCCGGCGGAUCGCGUGGCCUCGUAAAUCCCCCAGACAUUACUGAUGUAGAUGCUUUGGCCGGCUGCCCUGGGAAAAUCGCACACAAAUAGAAGAAGGGCAGGGGGAGCACAUUCACUCUCGAAUUCUGGUGGGUUCCGGGCUCCGUGUGUUUGGAUCUGUAAACGCAGGGGGUUGGGCUCGCCACGAUGAUCAUUUAAGGUCCUUUCCAGCUUGGACUUUCUCAGACUCCACUUCCCUCCGGAAGGCCGCCCGGAGCUCUCACUCACUGUCCGGCUCAGGGACGGGGGUCUGCGGAAACAGAAGCAGGGGGAAGAUCUCCGGCUGAAAAUCCGGAAGCUUCUCCAGCAUAUCCUAGGGGCUCCUUCACAGAAAGAAGUUUCUGCAUCUGUCCAAUGGGCAUUCAGACUCGUUGGCUUAAUGGAAGAAGCCGUGUUUGCAUUCCUCUUCUGAGGCCGAACCCCCAGAUGCUCUGGCAGGUUCCACGUGGAGUCUGACCAGACAGGAGUACGGCUGGGAAAGGGACGGGGCAGGCACCGGAUUUCUGCCCGAAGGUUCUCCUGUCCGCCGUGCUGUGCUCCAGUGAGGAUGUCCUGCUUUUCUCGUACUUCUGCUUCUAGUAAGUUAAUUGGAUUUUCUACCUAAACGUGGAUAAAGUCAUUUACGCAGCAACAUUUCUCCAGAUGAGAUCGCUCGCUUAGAAGGCAGCGUGGCUCUGGUCUUCGGGCUCUCGGGCAUGAAUUGUGACGCUUGUCUGUAAACCUCGUUCCCUUGGACACGUCCUUACAGGAGCUGAUAAUGAAUGAAGGAAUCAGCGUUUCACGGGACACAUUUUGGGAAAUGCUCCUUUCAGCCAAAAGAGUGUCCGGACCCUUGCACAGUUUCCAUUGCUGAUGGGACCUUCUGAGCACUGUCAACAUACCCACAGAGAAGGGGUUUCCAACUCACGCAAUCACACUCUCCAGUCAGAUGUGGAACAAGAAAAUACUUCCCAGAAAUGCAAAGAAGAAAACAAACCAAGUUCAUUGCCUUGGGUAACAUGAGUUCUUGCCCAUUUGAAAGUGGGAUCUUAAUCUUCCUAGAAGAUCUCUUUCUAGAUUUCUUCUAGAAAGAGAGGACACGCCAUACCUUAGACAGUGUAGUUACGGGCAGGUGCUCUAUCACCUGGUACUGAGUCCCACUGCCAUCUACAAGAUUUAACAAUCAGUUGUAAGAACAUCUAACGUGAAGAAACGUUUAAGAACUCAAGGGGUCUCUUGGGAUUGGAGGUCCAUCCAUUCCUGGAAAGGUUGAGAUAAGUCACGUGAUGCCUUUUCUGUAACCCCAACAUUUCUCCAAGGAAAUCUUUGAAGUAAAAAGUUCACAAAGGAGUAGACUGAGGACUGCAGCGGAGACAGUGGGGGGGGGGGGGGGCAUGUUCCAUGGUUCCCUUCACUGUAGAGGCUGUUGGGAACAGGGGUUCAGUAAAGCAGACUGCAAUUUCCAGUAUCUGGUGCAUGGAUAAUGUUCUUUCACCUUUGGAUGUGUCCUUAGGUGACUGGACAGUGAGUAGAAGGUCUCAAA